rnacentral:rRNA from 1 species
UACGUAGGGGGCAAGCGUUGUCCGGAUUUAUUGGGCGUAAAGAGCGUGUAGGCGGCUUUGCAAGUCCGUUGUGAAAACUCGAGGCUCAACCUCGAGACGCCGGUGGAAACUGCAAAGCUAGAGUCCGGAAGAGGAGAGUGGAAUUCCUGGUGUAGCGGUGAAAUGCGCAGAUAUCAGGAAGAACACCCGUGGCGAAGGCGGCUCUCUGGGACGGUACUGACGGCUGAGACGCGAAAGCGUGGGGAGCGAACAGG